GUGAGGAAUAUUGGACAAUGGGCGCAAGCCUGAUCCAGCCAUGCCGCGUGCAGGAAGACGCAUCUAUGGUGUGUAAACUGCUUUUGUACGGGAAGAAACACUCCCUCGUGAGGGAGCUUGACGGUACCGUAAGAAUAAGGAUCGGCUAACUCCGUGCCAGCAGCCGCGGUAAUACGGAGGAUCCAAGCGUUAUCCAGAAUCAUUGGGUUUAAAGGGUCCGUAGGCGGUUUAAUAAGUCAGUGGUGAAAGCCCAUCGCUCAACGAUGGAACGGCCAUUGAUACUGUUAGACUUGAAUUACAAGGAAGUAACUAGAAUAUGUAGUGUAGCGGUGAAAUGCUUAGAUAUUACAUGGAAUACCAAUUGCGAAGGCAGGUUACUACUUGUGGAUUGACGCUGAUGGACGAAAGCGUGGGGAGCGAACAGGAUUAGAUACCCGUGUAGUCC
rnacentral:rRNA from 1 species